rnacentral:lncRNA from 1 species
GGCGUUUCCAGCCAUUCUCACACGGCUUCUCAGCCGGGGUCUCCCACCCCGGCCCUGGCCCUGGGCCUGCCCUCACUGCCUCCUCCCCAUCCCCUACCCCUAGAGGCCUCCUGCCCUGGUCACCUACGCGUCACCUAAGCCCCGAGGCCAGGCGGCUUCUUGUCUACUAAAGACUUCCGGAGAGAGGCAUUCACCCUGUGGUCAGAGCUGGGGUUUCCAUGGAGGAGCACCACAGCCAUAAAGAAAGUUAUGGAGGCUGUGAAGUGCAAGGUCAAGAGGCUGCAUCUGGUGAAGACCUUCUUGCUGGUAGGGUCUCUCUACCUGGUCCUGAGGCAGUCCAGGGCAUCAC